rnacentral:rRNA from 1 species
UUCUCCUGGAAACGGGUGGUAAUGCCGGAUGCUCCAGUUGGAUGCAUGUCCUUCUGGGAAAGAUUCAUCGGUAUGGGAUGGGGUCGCGUCCUAUCAGCUUGAUGGCGGGGUAACGGCCCACCAUGGCUUCGACGGGUAGCCGGCCUGAGAGGGCGACCGGCCACAUUGGGACUGAGAUACGGCCCAGACUCCUACGGGAGGCAGCAGUGGGGAAUAUUGCACAAUGGGCGCAAGCCUGAUGCAGCGACGCCGCGUGCGGGAUGACGGCCUUCGGGUUGUAAACCGCUUUUGACUGGGAGCAAGCCCUUCGGGGUGAGUGUACCUUUCGAAUAAGCACCGGCUAACUACGUGCCAGCAGCCGCGGUAAUACGUAGGGUGCAAGCGUUAUCCGGAAUUAUUGGGCGUAAAGGGCUCGUAGGCGGUUCGUCGCGUCCGGUGUGAAAGUCCAUCGCUUAACGGUGGAUCCGCGCCGGGUACGGGCGGGCUUGAGUGCGGUAGGGGAGACUGGAAUUCCCGGUGUAACGGUGGAAUGUGUAGAUAUCGGGAAAGAACACCA